CAGUUCGGAUUGUAGGCUGCAACUCGCCUACAUGAAAUCGGAAUCGCUAGUAAUCGCGGAUCAGCAUGCCGCGGUGAAUACGUUCCCGGGCCUCGUACACACCGCCCGUCACACCAUGAGAGUUUGUAACACCCAAAGCCGGUGGGGUAACCUUUUGGAGCCAGCCGUCUAAGGUGGGACAGAUGAUUGGGGUGAAGUCGUAACAAGGUACC
rnacentral:rRNA from 1 species